AGGGAAGGGUCUGGUGGGGUGGUGGCCAGGCCGACAGGGGGGCAUCGUAGACAUGGCCUCCAGCACCUUCCAAGGCAUACAGAGGGUGGCAGAGUCGACAGAGGAAGUGACCAAGCUGAGGCCGGUCAGACUGAUCCGAGAGGAUGGAAUCAUCCGGCCUUACGACCAGGAGGACGCCAAGGGAUACGACCUUUUCCAGGUUAGCAACCCUCCUUAGAAGGUCACUAAAACACCCAUGGACGCCAAGGGAUAAAACGACCUUGUCCAGGUUAGCAACCCACCUUAGGACACUAAAACACCCAUGGCUGGAGGUAGACUUGUCCAGGUUAGCAACCCACCUUAGGACACUAAAACACCCAUGGCUGUAGGUAGACUUGUCCAGGUUAGCAACCCUCCUUAGGACACUAAAACACCCAUGGCUGGAGGUAGACUUGUCCAGGUUAGCAACCCUCCUUAGGACACUAAAACACCCAUGGCUGGAGGUAGACUUGUCCAGGUUAGCAACCCACCUUAGGUCACUAAAACACCCAUGGCUGGAGGUAGACUUGUCCAGGUUAGCAACCCACCUUAGGACACUAAAACACCCAUGGCUGUAGGUAGACUUGUCCAGGUUAGCAACCCUCCUUAGAAGGUCACUAAAACACCCAUGGCUGUAGGUAGACUUGUCCAGGUUAGCAACCCUCCUUAGGACACUAAAACACCCAUGGCUGUAGGUAGACUUGUCCAGGUUAGCAACCCUCCUUAGGUCACUAAAACACCCAUGGCUGUAGGUAUACUUGUCCAGGUUAGCAACCCACCUUAGGUCACUAAAACACCCAUGGCUGUAGGUAGACUUGUCCAGGUUAGCAACCCUCCUUAGGACACUAAAACACCCAUGGCUGGAGGUAGACUUGUCCAGGUUAGCAACCCACCUUAGGACACUAAAACACCCAUGGCUGUAGGUAGACUUGUCCAGGUUAGCAACCCACCUUAGGUCACUAAAACACCCAUGGCUGUAGGUAGACUUGUCCAGGUUAGCAACCCUCCUUAGAAGGACACUAAAACACCCACGGCUGGAGGUAGACUUGUCCAGGUUAGCAACCCUCCUUAGAAGGUCACUAAAACACCCACGGCUGGAGGUAGACUUGUCCAGGUUAGCAACCCACCUUAGGUCACUAAAACACCCAUGGCUGGAGGUAGACUUGUCCAGGUUAGCAACCCACCUUAGGACACUAAAACACCCAUGGCUGUAGGUAGACUUGUCCAGGUUAGCAACCCUCCUUAGAAGGUCACUAAAACACCCAUGGCUGUAGGUAGACUUGUCCAGGUUAGCAACCCUCCUUAGGUCACUAAAACACCCAUGGCUGUAGGUAUACUUGUCCAGGUUAGCAACCCACCUUAGGUCACUAAAACACCCAUGGCUGUAGGUAGACUUGUCCAGGUUAGCAACCCUCCUUAGGACACUAAAACACCCACGGCUGGAGGUAGACUUGUCCAGGUUAGCAACCCACCUUAGGACACUAAAACACCCAUGGCUGUAGGUAGACUUGUCCAGGUCGUAGAGAAAGGGGACCAUAUAACAACUAGAUCUUUUUACUAUUUCAAUUUCUGCACUUUACUAUUCUAAAUUAUAUAUUUUAAUGUUUUUAUUUUUCCUUAUACAGUGUAUUAUAUGUCAAUCUGAAAGUGUCGUCU